rnacentral:lncRNA from 1 species
UCAGAGAAACUGGCAGUAGCUCAGAGAUAGGACCUUAGCGCUUACACCGAGACUGCCAUUGAAACAAAUCCUAUGGGAGAAGAGCCAAGAGCAGGUACAGAACAACAGGUGGAGAGUAUGACACUGAUACCUGUGUCCCUGGGAGGAAACAAUUAAGAAUCUUUUAUCAUGUUUGCUUCAGUGCUCAGUGGUGUAGGUUGAAAGGGAAAGAAAAUGGUUGUCUUGGGGCCUAUGUACAGUACUUUUGCAUUUUUGUGAUGGGUACCGUCAAGCUUCUUAGCAUUACCAGAUGGCCUUCCCCCAAGUCUUCAUAUAAGCAUGUUAUACUCUGGAAAAUGUUUUCUAUUGAGAAGGAAAUUUAAAGAUUUAGAGGAAAUAUAUCUAUGAAAUAUGCUCAGCAAAAGAAAAUAAAUGUAUUUGUUCAGUUCUGUUUCAUUUGUUCCAGAAAAUAUAUGGAGCUUGAUGCUGUCUUGAAAAAGGAUAAAGAAAGUUUGACAAAGUAGUUCUUAGGAUUAAAAAUUGGUGUAUAAGAGGCAGUAGUUCAGAUUUAAAGUUUGGAUCAAUGUCAUGUGCAGUCAGUGACUACCCAUAUCUUGCUAUUCUUGUUGUGAUGUAUCAGAAGCUUCCUGUCACAAUAUUACAGCUGAGAUGGUGAAGAACAUCAUGUGUGUAGGAUCACAAACUUUUGACUCUCUUCCACUGGAAAACCAGGCCCUGAAAGCAGUUUUUAUAAAACACAGAAGAGAAGACACAACUCUUAUCUUUGUUUCCCAAAUGUUUGCAGUUGAUGACAAGGC